rnacentral:lncRNA from 1 species
CCAGUCGGUGAGACCGCACCACCCACUAAAAAUCACUGAUCACGAAGAUUUUCACAUCUCUACCAAGGAAGUGUAGGGAUCUGAAAAAAUAGUGGGAGCCUAGUUUGUUUAAAAAUAAAAACCCUAAACAAAUUGGUUGAGUCUGAUUACAAAAUCUAACUAGAAACUUUUGACUCUCUACAGGAAACAUGUCUGCCUCAAACCCCCUGACCAAAAUUCUAGACACCCAU